rnacentral:tRNA from 1 species
UCCCUGUAGGCUUAGAUGGUAAAGAGUCUGCCUGCAAUGCAGGAGACCCAGAUUUGAUCUCUGGGUCGGGAA